ACCAAUGGAAAGCAAAUCCUUAGGAAAGCUUUGAGAUCUCCUUCUGAGCUGCUGACUCAUUUCUCCCACCCAGCUUAACAUGUCCAGCAGCAGAAACCACAGAAAACAGUGGAUGAGAAUGGAAAUACAAUUAAUCCUAAGCACUGAAUAAAAUAAACAAAAGAGAAAAGCUUCCUUGGCUUAACAUGUCCUGCAGCAGAAAAUAUGAAAUACAAUGGAGGAGGAGAAAAUUACAAUUAAUCCUAAGAACUGAAUACAAGAAACAAAAGAGAAAAGCAUCCUUGGUGCAGCGCACCAGAUUUAGGUUGUUUCCGAAUUUCAAGUUCUACCAGAAAUGGAAGCACAUCAGACAGGACAACAUGGAGCCUGGUGACCUCUGAGAUGAUGUUUCCAACUGUCGUUGUGAUCACAGGUUAAAGACCCUGGAGCAGAGAGCCCAGAAGCAGCACCAUUGAUGUCUGGCUCAUUCUCUCUUUGGGACACAAAAUUGCAUCGCUCCUGCGUUGCUUCUUGCAAAUGGUACACACAGCUCUGUGACUG